GAUGAACGCUGGCGGCGUGCCUAAUACAUGCAGGUCGAGCGAACGGACGAGAAGCUUGCUUUUCUGAUGUUAGCGGCGGACGGGCGAGUAACACGUGGAUAACCUACCUAUAAGACUGGGAUAACUUCGGGAAACCGGAGCUAAUACCGGAUAAUAUUUUGAACCGCAUGGUUCAAAAGUGAAAGACGGUCUUGCUGUCACUUAUAGAUGGAUCCGCGCUGCAUUAGCUAGUUGGUAAGGUAACGGCUUACCAAGGCAACGAUGCAUAGCCGACCUGAGAGGGUGAUCGGCCACACUGGAACUGAGACACGGUCCAGACUCCUACGGGAGGCAGCAGUAGGGAAUCUUCCGCAAUGGGCGAAAGCCUGACGGAGCAACGCCGCGUGAGUGAUGAAGGUCUUCGGAUCGUAAAACUCUGUUAUUAGGGAAGAACAUAUGUGUAAGUAACUGUGCACAUCUUGACGGUACCUAAUCAGAAAGCCACGGCUAACUACGUG
rnacentral:rRNA from 1 species